UUUGCAUAUUUCUUCUUCACUUUCAAAAUGUAUUUAUAUCAUACUCCAGUAGACUCCAACCUUCACAGAUACUAUAAUACUCAGUGCAUGGAAAUGCACUCCGUGGAUUGAUGUGGUACAUUCUUCUAGACAGCUGAGAACUACAGCAAUCUGGGGACAUACAAUCAUCUUUUAAAAUACAUGCAUCUAUGUACAUUAAUCUGAGAGACUGAGUCUCUAGGACUCAGUUAAAUUAAGGUUUGAGAUUUCACAUGCAUGGGCAGACUUGGUCUUCACAACUGGAGUUCAAAGCUAUAAAAGCCUACUUCUACGGAUCUCCUCCAGGACUGUGUGCUAUGACUUUUCU
rnacentral:lncRNA from 1 species